GACGAACGCGGGCGGCGUGCCUAAUACAUGCAAGUCGAGCGAGUCUGCCUUGAAGAUCGGAGUGCUUGCACUCUGUGAAACAAGAUACAGGCUAGCGGCGGACGGGUGAGUAGCACGUGGGUAACCUGCCCAAGAGAUCGGGAUAACACCUGGAAACAGAUGCUAAUACCGGAUAACAACAGAUGAUGCCUAUCAACUGUUUAAAAGAUGGUUCUGCUAUCACUCUUGGAUGGACCUGCGGUGCAUUAGCUAGUUGGUAGGGUAACGGCCUACCAAGGCGAUGAUGCAUAGCCGAGUUGAGAGACUGAUCGGCCACAUUGGGACUGAGACACGGCCCAAACUCCUACGGGAGGCAGCAGUAGGGAAUCUUCCACAAUGGACGCAAGUCUGAUGGAGCAACGCCGCGUGAGUGAAGAAGGGUUUCGGCUCGUAAAGCUCUGUUGUUGGUGAAGAAGGACAGGGGUAGUAACUGACCUUUGUUUGACGGUAAUCAAUUAGAAAGUCACGGCUAACUACGUGCCAGCAGCCGCGGUAAUACGUAGGUGGCAAGCGUUGUCCGGAUUUAUUGGGCGUAAAGCGAGUGCAGGCGGCUCGAUAAGUCUGAUGUGAAAGCCUUCGGCUCAACCGGAGAAUUGCAUCAGAAACUGUCGAGCUUGAGUACAGAAGAGGAGAGUGGAACUCCAUGUGUAGCGGUGAAAUGCGUAGAUAUAUGGAAGAACACCGGUGGCGAAGGCGGCUCUCUGGUCUGUUACUGACGCUGAGGCUCGAGAGCAUGGGUAGCGAACAGG
rnacentral:rRNA from 1 species